CCUACGGGACGCAGCAGUGGGGAAUAUUGCACAAUGGAGGAAACUCUGAUGCAGCAACGCCGCGUGAGUGAAGAAGUAUUUCGGUAUGUAAAGCUCUAUCAGCAGGGAAGAAGAUGACGGUACCUGAGUAAGAAGCCCCGGCUAACUACGUGCCAGCAGCCGCGGUAAUACGUAGGGGGCAAGCGUUAUCCGGAUUUACUGGGUGUAAAGGGAGCGCAGGCGGUGGGACAAGUCUGAAGUGAAAGCCCGGGGCUCAACCUCGGGACUGCUUUGGAAACUGCCUGACUGGAGAGCUGGAGAGGCAAGCGGAAUUCAUGGUGUAGCGGUGAAAUGCGUAGAUAUUAUGAAGAACACCGGUGGCGAAGGCAGCUUAC
rnacentral:rRNA from 1 species